rnacentral:tRNA from 1 species
CGAGGUGCUCGCACGGGAGGGAGCGCGCGGGCUGACGUUCCGCGCGGUGGACGCGGAGGCCGGUGUGCCCGUGGGUACCGCCUCCAACUACUUCACC